rnacentral:misc_RNA from 1 species
AAGUCGUAACAAGGUAACCGUAGGUGAACCUGCGGUUGGAUCAUUACUGAAUAUAUGAAUUUGGUUUCUAAUCCAAAAAAAAGCCUGUCAAAGGGCUGCUUUUUGGGUGAACAAACCACUAAAAAAAAAAAAUUCAUAACACCCCACUUGUGAACUGUUUACCGUACCUUGUUUGGCAGCCCACCUAUUUGUUUUUUUUUACUGUUAUGGUAUGGCAAAUGAAAGGAUUUAGGCAAAAGGAUGGUUGGGGAGGGGGGGAGAAAAAGGUUUUUUUUUUCCACCCCCCCCCCACCCCCUUUUUCUUUUGAUCUGGGGCUGUCAGACGCCUAUAUAAACAAACUCGUUUUUCUUAAAUAUUAAUGCAGUCUCUUUCUAAUUAUUUUAUAAUUAAAAAAAACAACUUUUGACAACGGAUCUCUUGGCUCUC